rnacentral:lncRNA from 1 species
AUGGAACCUAAGAGCUCAGAGAAGGGCAUCGCUGCUUCCAGGUUUAUUCAGCUAGAGGCUGAUGAAAACACUUCAGAACGUGGUUCCAGUGUACAGACAGCAGAAGACACCAAGGAUGCACAGGUGCACCUAACACGCAAGGGACAAAGCCCAGGUACUAAAAAUCUACAGAAGUCUUCCUUCUUUGGCUUGACCACGUGGAGUCACUCUACUUCACAUGAACUCUUUUCUUCCAUGAAAUAUUUCAUCACUUCAUGGUUCAAAGUGGUAAGUGAGUAUUUUGCCCUCUGCUUUUUGAUAUUUGUCCAAGCAUGUUACGAUUUCUGUAACAGAAAUGAUACAAGGUGAGUUUCCAGAAUAAACUGCCUGCAUUUUACUGUACUGUGUUCUGA